rnacentral:rRNA from 1 species
GUACACUCCUACGGGAGGCAGCAGUGGGGAAUUUUGGACAAUGGGCGAAAGCCUGAUCCAGCAAUGCCGCGUGAGUGAAGAAGGCCUUCGGGUUGUAAAGCUCUUUUGUCAGGGAAGAAACGGUGAAAGCUAAUAUCUUUUGCUAAUGACGGUACCUGAAGAAUAAGCACCGGCUAACUACGUGCCAGCCGCCGCGGUAAUACGUAGGGUGCAAGCGUUAAUCGGAAUUACUGGGCGUAAAGCGUGCGCAGGCGGUUUUGUAAGUCUGAUGUGAAAUCCCCGGGCUCAACCUGGGAAUUGCAUUGGAGACUGCAAGGCUAGAAUCUGGCAGAGGGGGGUAGAAUUCCACGUGUAGCAGUGAAAUGCGUAGAUAUGUGGAGGAACACCGAUGGCGAAGGCAGCCCCCUGGGUCAAGAUUGACGCUCAUGCACGAAAGCGUGGGGAGCAAACAGGAUUAGAAACCCUUGUAGUCCC